GACGAACGCUGGCGGCGUGCUUAACACAUGCAAGUCGAACGGAAAGGCCCUGCUUUUGUGGGGUGCUCGAGUGGCGAACGGGUGAGUAACACGUGAGUAACCUGCCCUUGACUUUGGGAUAACUUCAGGAAACUGGGGCUAAUACCGGAUAGGAGCUCCUGCUGCAUGGUGGGGGUUGGAAAGUUUCGGCGGUUGGGGAUGGACUCGCGGCUUAUCAGCUUGUUGGUGGGGUAGUGGCUUACCAAGGCUUUGACGGGUAGGCGGCCUGAGAGGGGGACCGGCCACAAUGGGACUGAGGGACGGCCCAGACUCCUAAGGGGGGCAACGGGGGGGAAUAUUGGCCAAUGGGCGGAAGCCUGAUGCAGCAACGCCGCGUGCGGGAUGACGGCCUUCGGGUUGUAAACCGCUUUCGCCUGUGACGAAGCGUGAGUGACGGUAAUGGGUAAAGAAGCACCGGCUAACUACGUG
rnacentral:rRNA from 1 species